rnacentral:rRNA from 1 species
GUAGUCAUAUGCUUGUCUCAAAGAUUAAGCCAUGCAUGUCUAAGUAUAAGCAAUCUAUACGGUGAAACUGCGAAUGGCUCAUUAAAUCAGUUAUCGUUUAUUUGAUAGUACCUCACUACUUGGAUACCUGUGGUAAUUCUAGAGCUAAUACAUGCUAAAAACCUCGACUUCGGAAGGGGUGUAUUUAUUAGAUAAAAAACCAAUGCCCUUCGGGGCUCCUUGGUGAUUCAUAAUAACUCAACGAAUCGCAUGGCCUUGCGCCGGCGAUGGUUCAUUCAAAUUUCUGCCCUAUCAACUUUCGAUGGUAGGAUAGUGGCCUACCAUGGUUUCUACGGGUAACGGGGAAUUAGGGUUCUAUUCCGGAGAGGGAGCCUGAGAAACGGCUACCACAUCCAAGGAAGGCAGCAGGCGCGCAAAUUACCCAAUCCCGACACGGGGAGGUAGUGACAAUAAAUACUGAUACAGGGCUCUUUUGGGUCUUGUAAUUGGAAUGAGUACAAUUUAAAUCCCUUAACGAGGAACAAUUGGAGGGCAAGUCUGGUGCCAGCAGCCGCGGUAAUUCCAGCUCCAAUAGCGUAUGUUAAAGUUGUUGCAGUUAAAAAGCUCGUAGUUGAAACUUGGGUCUGGCUGA